UCAAAAAAGUGUGAAAUACAGAGUAACUGAGAUCUUCUUCAACCUAUCUUCUUCAACCUAAUUUCAGUUUUCUGGCGGAAAAACUUUGAUACAAUCAGCAAGUUUGGUUGGGAAACGUGAAUAUUAGAUUGAAAUCUCGUUUCCCAUUCGUUUCCGGGAUGAAUUCAGUUUCAAACACGUCUCCAUUUUUCUGAAACGGUUCCGAAACGCGUUUCCCGGUUUCCCCGUUCCAGGACGUUUCGGAAACGGUAAGUCGUGAUUUUUUGGCGUUUCCGUGCUUCGUAGCUUUUGACCCCUAAUUUCCCCGAAUUAGCAUGAAUUAACAAGAUUAGGGAUUACCCUUUUUUGAUUUGAAUCUAAGGAGCGAUGCUUCAAAAGCUAUCUCUCUCAUUUCGACCCAUGCGUCGAUUUUCUAUAGCUGCUCAAAAUCAUUAUUGUUCUUCCUCUAACCCCAUUGAUAUGCCAACAAUUAGCGGUUCAAGUAGUUGUAAUAGCGUUAAUCAUGAUACUAAUACCGGUGAUAAUUGUAGUUUAGUUGCUAAUUCAAGGAUUGAACCCAAGUUUGAAGAACCAGCUCUAAUUAAACUUAAGAAAGAGAGAGACCCAGAUAAGCUAUUUAAACUCUUCAAGGAUAAUUCUCACAAUCGUCUUGUUAUAGAAAAUAAGUAUGCGUUCGAGGAUACAGUUUCGCGGUUGGCGGGUGCUAAGAGGUAUGACUACAUUGAGCAUUUGCUUGAGCAUCAAAAGUCGUUGCCUCAAGGUAGGAGGGAGGGUUUUGUUGUUCGGGUUAUAAUGUUGUAUGGACGGGCCGGUAUGGUUAAACAAGCUGUCGAUACGUUCUACGGUAUGCAUUUGUUUGGUUGUAGAAGGACUGUUAAAUCACUCAAUGCUGCUCUCAAGGUUUUGAGUCAGACCCACAAUUUAGAGGCCAUAAAUUCAUUUCUUAAGGAGGUGCCUUGGGAGUAUGGGAUUCAGCUUGAUGUGAUUUCAGUUAAUAUUGUGAUUAAUGCCUUUUGUGGGAUGGGAAUUUUGGAUAAGGCUUAUUUAGUGAUGGUAGAGAUGGAGAAGGCAGGGAUAAAGCCUGAUGUUGUCUCCUAUACAACUCUUAUAUCAGCUUUCUACAAAUAUGGUCGUUGGGAGGUUGGAAAUGGACUGUGGAAUCUCAUGGUCUAUAAGAGAUGUUAUCCUAAUGUCGCUACGUUCAAUGCUAGGAUCCAAUUUUUAGUAAAUAAAGGGCGAGCAUGGCAAGCAAAUGACUUGCUCAGAUUGAUGGAAAAUAUAGAGCUGCAACCAGAUGAAGUUACUUAUAAUUUGGUAAUCAAAGGGUUUUUUCGGGCUGGCUUAUUUGAUAUGGCAAAAAAGGUUUAUUCCGCCUUACAUGGUCGGGGUUAUGAACCUAAUCUCAAGAUUUAUCAAACUAUGGUACAUUACUUAUGCAAGGCAGGGGAUUUUAAUUGUGCAUAUACCAUGUGCAAAGAAUGCUUGAAGAAAAAUUGGAUUAUGAAUGUAGAUACCAUUUGUACAUUACUUACUGGUUUAAAGAGUACUGGAAAGGUGGAAAAGGCUAAUAUUAUAUUUAGUUUGGUUCAAAAAAGACAUCCUCCCUUUCCUGCGAGGCAGCUGGAUACUUUUAAAGCUAUGUUAUCAAGACGCUGAAAUCUAGCAAGUUUAAGUAUAUUUAUCAUAUCAUCUCCCAAGCUGUAGUGGCUGAUUGGUGUUAUUGAAUUUAAAGGCACAAGGGGCUUUGUGUGGAGUCAGGCAUCUAAGGGACAAUAGUUCUUUGCUAUGAUCCAAUUUUCAGCUUCUGAUGAACCAACUGGUUAUGUGGAUAUUUCCUCCCUAUGUGGUAUGUGCUUAAAGGAAGUCCAUGGCAGUCCAUGACAGGAGUAACUUUAGAGGGUGUAAAAUGAUUCUAGAAAGCCCCUGACAGUCCAUGAAUGAAAUUGACAGUACUGGGAUACAUUGUCAAAUUGUUGCUCUGUUUGUGCUUCCGGUUUGUGCGGUAAGAAAGUGACUAUGAAAACAGUAGUAUGGUUUCACUACUUUUUACCUAUCUUGACUCAAGGAUUUUAAGUUCUCAUCUGAUACAGAUAGCUACACUGUCUUCCAGGUAUUCACUGUUUUCCAGCCUGCCUGUGAUUGGGCAUCAGUCUCUCAUUCUUCUCCUAUAGGAUGUUUUAUCCUGUGUUUUUCUGUAAGCCUCAAACAAGAAGGCAUAUGAGCAUAACUUUGAGAUGUUUCAAAGUUAUGGAUUCUUUCAAUACAUUUUUUAGAUUUAGUAUUCUUAAAAAUUGGUAUACACUGGAAAAAUACAAUACACCACUCUGUAAUUCUUUCCACUGGAUAGUUGAGUUUACUAGCAAAGACAAGUAACAAGUUGCAUUAGGCCUUAGAGUUUUGUCUCUUUGUCACAUCCCUUUCCUCUUCUGCUGUCUUGCUGUUUCUGCCUGUCUCCCUUACUUACUGGGACUUCGAAUUUUAUAAAGCUGUUGAAUUUGUGACUGACUGGUACUAGUAAGAUGUUACACAUACUCUUGGGAGAUUGAAAAUGCUCCAUUCUAAAGCCAAAAUGAGAAGAUACGUUGAUGUCAAAUGCUUGAAUUUGAUGCCUUGUGAGGUUUUAUGAGGUAGAUGUCUGAAGUCAAUGUUUUAUUUGCUCCCUCUGUACCUCACUACCUCCAGGUUUGGUAGUUCAUCUUCAUAUUGUAAUAAACUUCCAGACAUGUAAUUCAUCAGAAGCUCCAUCAGUUCAAAUUAUUCUAUUGCAGGCCAUGGAAAUCCUUUUUCUGUUACUCUGUACAAGAACAUUGGAUAAAUGAGUAAGGUGGGUGUAUUCAUUCCUGAACCGCUUGAUGAAAAUUUCAUGUUUCAUGCAGUUGUUUUGAUGUUUUAAAGUUUUGAACACGGCACCUUACACUGGAACAUAUCCAGAACAUGACACUUGUGGCCCUUGUAUUUUGCUUUUGAAGUCUAAGUUUCUUAAAAAAAGAAAAGAAAAAGACAUGCUCCCAUAACUCCUCCUCUGAUAAAUGUAAGUAUUGAAGAUGAACAACAUUCUGAAAUGUAUGGGUCUGUACAAGCUGGACAGUUGGAGUCUGGAAUGUGUUCAAGUCUACAGGUUGUCAGGAGAUUACCUUCUGUGACAUUUUGUUUAAGAUCAAGGGAUGACCUUCAUCUAACUCUGGUAGCUGGUAUGGCUCGUAGGACUCGAUAGUUCUCCAGGUUAUUUUUUUCUGUGAUCCCUCCUUGAUGAUCUCUUGGUACGGCAGUACGUGGCACUUUUACCAGACAGUUGAGUUGAUGUAGCAAAUCAAAUUACCAAAGGGGAUCACUCAUCAAUUAUGUUGUCAGAUUUGGGUUGCAAAAGCAUGAGCAGAGUAAACACAUUUGUUACUGGUAUUGUUUACAUUUAUUCUCAAGAAAGAGGUUUUCUCUUGUUCUA